AAUGUUAUGGACACUAGAUGACAU
rnacentral:miRNA from 1 species